rnacentral:rRNA from 1 species
AAUCAACGCUGGCGGCGUGCCUCAGACAUGCAAGUCGAACGAUUAAAGCUCUCUUCGGAGAGUGCAUAGAGUGGCGCACGGGUGAGUAACACGUAAGUAAUCUACCUUCGAGUGGGGAAUAACGUCCGGAAACGGACGCUAAUACCGCAUAAUGCAGCGGCAUCGCAAGAUGACCGUUGUUAAAGAUUUAUCACUUGAAGAGGAGCUUGCGGCAGAUUAGCUAGUUGGUAAGGUAAUGGCUUACCAAGGCUACGAUCUGUAACCGGUCUUAGAGGACGGUCGGUCACACUGACACUGAAUAACGGGUCAGACUCCUACGGGAGGCAGCAGUCAGGAAUUUUGGGCAAUGGGCGUAAGCCUGACCCAGCAACGCCGCGUGAAGGAUGAAGUAUUUCGGUAUGUAAACUUCGAAAGAAUGGGAAGAAUAAAUGACGGUACCAUUUAUAAGGUCCGGCUAACUACGUGCCAGCCGCCGCGGUAAUAC